AUUGAACGCUGGCGGCAGGCCUAACACAUGCGAGUCGAGCGGAAGAAGGGAGCUUGCUCCUGGAUUCAGCGGCGGACGGGGGAGUAAUGCCCAUGAAUCUGCCUGGUGGUGGGGGGUAACGUCCGGAAACGGGCGCUAAUAUCGCAUACGCCCUGAGCGAGAAAGUGGGGGGUCUUCGGACCUCACGCUAUCAGAUGAGCCUAGGUCGGAUUAGCUAGUUGGUGGGGUAAAGGCCUACCAAGGCGACGAUCCGUAGCUGGUCUGAGAGGAUGAUCAGUCACACUGGAACUGAGACACGGUCCAGACUCCUACGGGAGGCAGCAGUGGGGAAUAUUGGACAAUGGGCGAAAGCCUGAUCCAGCAAUGCCGCGUGUGUGAAGAAGGUCUUCGGGUUGUAAAGCACUUUUGGUUGGGAGGAAGGGCAGUAAGUUAAUACCUUGCUGUUUUGACGUUACCGAAAGAAUAAGCACCGGCUAACUACGUG
rnacentral:rRNA from 1 species